UUCCAUAUACACUAAACUUUACUAUACAUACAAUACUCUAAAUAUAAACUUCAAAACUAAAAUUUGAAAAAUUUAACUACAAAUCUUAGACCUAAUAUUCAAAUCUAAUAUUUUCAUACUCUGAUCCAAAAUCUUAAAUCAUAGUCUUGAUAUUAAUCAAAUUUUCAAACUUAAACAUCAAUUCUUAAAAUAAAUAUAAACUUAUUAUGUUCAAAAAAGAAAACUCUAAACUUAAAUUAUAAACUCGAAAAUACAAAAUUUAUAUAUAAGAUAUAACUAAGAAAAUUUACUUAGAAAACAAAUUAUCAAAUAUUUAAGAACAAAACAAAAAUAAAAAUAGAAAAAGAAAGACAAAAUUUCUGGCCAAUCAGAUUCAAAUACAUAGAUCACACUCUUAACCAUUGGAUUAACUUAGAUCUAAAGGUAGAGAUUUAUUCAAUUUUAUUUUUAUUUUUUUCUUCUCUCUCUCUCUCUCCCUCUCCCUCUCUCACAACAGAUCUCAUAUCAUCUCCUUCUCUGCUUUUUUUUCUUUCCCGAUUCUCUCUUCUCCACUCUAACCUCUCAUUCUCAUAUCUCAUAUAUCUCUUCUCUCUCAUCUCUCUCAACGCCUCUCUCCCAUCUCUCUCAACGCCUCUCUCGUCUCACCACCACCGCGUCUCCUUCUCGUCUCACCACCACCGCGUCUCCUUCUCGUCUCACCACCACCGCGUCUCCUUCUCGUCUCACCACCACCGCGUCUCCUCCUCGUCUCACCACCACUGUUUUCCCCCUUGUGUCACCACCACCACGGUCGACGUGGAGGAGCCAAGGUUCAUGGCGGCUGGAGGAAGCAAGGUUCAUGGCGGCUGGAGGAAGCAAGGUUCAUGGCGGCUUGAGUAUACAAGUCUCGUGGCGGCUGGAGGAAUCAAAGUUCAGGGCUGCUGGAAGAGGGACAAGGAUAUGGAGGAGGCGGCAGGAGUUUUUUCUUUAGGUUUAGGUUUUUUAGGUCUGGUUAAGUGUCCUAAAUUGUAGUGGUCUGAUUUUAUUUUUUAAUUUCUGGUUUAGUUUUGUAAACCAGAAUUAAUCUGUAAACCAAAUUUAAUUUAUUAAUAAAAUUUAUUUUAUUUUCAGUUA